GCCAUCUUCCACCCUGCGUGACCAAUAUUGGCUCAGUCUCUCCGGCUUCCUCGGAGGCGCUUGUGGAAUAUGCUCCUGUUGUUCCACGGAACCUUUGGGUCGGGUGCCGGUACUCUGUCUUCGCCAUUCUGGAGCCUUCGCACCGCCUUCUCUGCCAUUCGGACCAUCCUCCCAGCCCAGAUCCUGGAUCAGUUCUCCCUUCUGGCGCAGGGGCGUCAUUGCCUCCGUUAUGGCACCCAUCAGCUCCAUAAAUCCUCGACGGAUCUCCUCUUGCAGCGUCCUGCUGAUGGUGUCCGCCAUAGCUCCUCUCUGCGUCUCCUGCGCUUGUGCUAUGGCGACGUUUAUGCCCGAAAGAAUUUCCGACGGCAAUUCUUUUGGGUACUUCGGCUGGUUCCAACUGUCGUUCUCUCCUCCUUCUGCGCUCUGUUCCGGCAAGUUUCCUGGCGGAGGAGUCCUGCUAGUCAUUUUCCCCUUUGACCGUAAAUUGUAGUUGCUCAUAAACUUUCUGACCACUUACUUUUCUCUCUUCCACAGAAACUCAAAACUCAAACAAAACCUGACACGGAACUUCAAAUUACUGCAAGAUCAACACUAAGAGGGGAAAGUAACCACAACUGCUACUGGGGCCAUCUGCACCCGGUUCCCUACGUCUUUGCUUGUCCAACGUCUUCAACUUCUUCGCGAGCGCUGUUGACCUCUCAUCUUCUACAGAAGAUUAAGAGAUUAAGAGAAAACAAACUACACGAACUUAACUAACUUCGGGUAUUUUUUUCUUUC
rnacentral:lncRNA from 1 species